UGCUCAAAAGAGUUUCCAAAAGGCUUCAGUACGAGCUCUUCUUACUGUGGAAGAGGAUCUUGCUGCUUUUUGAUAAAAUGUUGUGAGUUAGGGUCUGGUUUUUGUUUGUUUGUUUGACUUUGCCUCCUUGUUUGUUUCAGAAUACAAUGUCUGACUUCUAGGCACUCCGUUGGCUUUGAGACUGGACAGACCCUGGGUUCAAUAUGUCUUUUCCAGUAGCAUGACUGUGACAUCUUAAGGAAUAUUCUCCUUGUAUGUAAAAUGGGCCAGCACCUACCUCCUAGGACUGUUGUUUAAGGGUUUUAAGCACUCUGACAAAAUGCUCUCUGGAUAGAAGAGACUCUAUGAAGUCUGUUUAUCUUCUCUGUUUUUACAGCAAGUUCUAGGUCAUUUGCAAGUGGAGUUGAUCUCCCAUUUAUCAGCUCUAAGCACAUAACUGCGUCAGCUUGCUGUGUUGCCAUAAAAGGCAAAACCUGGAAAGUGUCCUUUGGGUCAUCUGGUUCAACCUCCCUUUUCUAUGACUAAAGGAACGGAGAUUUAAUCAAAUUUCACAACCUUCCCAUUACUGUUCAGGAACAAUUAAUGAAACAGGAAGAAAAAUCUCUUAAAAUAAGUAAUUGAAUAUAAUUAACAUGAAUUGUAAUAAGUGAUAUGAAGGAGAGGCACAGGGUGCUAUACAAUGAGAAGAGCAAAAUCUGUCAACAAAUGACUUUUUGAAGACCCAUUAUUCUCUAUAUUCCAUGGAGUCCAUGAUUCCUUGAGUCUCCUUACCAAACACUUCUCACCAUUGACAAUCCAUUAUGCACUGGAGCUGAAUACCUGCUGUUCUGACAACUGACCCGUGAGGUCUUCUGCAAAGAAGAAACAAAAAAGCCUCAAGAAG